CCGAGAAGAAGGGACUGCCGCCAUCACCAGCUUGGCCUGCGAAGGCUGUCUAUGGACCACUGUCUUGACUGAGGAUUGAUGUGGGAGGGCCCAGCCCUCUUCGGGCAGCGCUGUGACUGAACUGAUGGUCCUGGGCUAGUCAAGGCAUCUGAGCAAGCCAGUGUGAGGAUCCACAGAUGCCCAGGCAGAAGAUGAGGUAGACCCCCUCACUGAAUCAGCCCUGGGUAUGCUAUGAGCACCACCCCCACACUGCAGACGCAGGCGGGGCUCCCAUCCGGGAAGAGUCCUGUGAGAACUAAGGACACUGGAUGCUGAGGUCCAGAUUAGGGACGUGUCACACCUUGUGGGACCAGUUCUUGGAAGAAACCGGCCCCUUCUCGGAUCCCUUUGCUGUGAUCACCUCCUUCCCCACUGUGCUGCUCAACACGAUGAGCUCACCAGAGCCAGUGCUGCAGACGCCCAGACUUCAACCAACUGUGAGCCGAGUAAAACUCUUCUCUCUAGAAAGUACUCUACCUCCAUAUUUGGU